ACUAACGGUGCAUUAAUCGCCUUUACUGUCUUAUGUUUACACCAAUUCUCUGUUUAAACAGAUACAGUGAACUUGAUUUUCCCUUUAAGCUCCUCCUUCCUCAGUCGCUGUAUAUUGCAACAAACCUGAAACUAUUUGAUAGAUAAAAUAUUACAUCUUAAAAUGUUUAAAUAUCCAUAUUUUUCAUCUUAAAUGCACUGUCAGAGCAAAAACGUGCUUUUUUGUGACGAACUUUAUUCUUUGCCCUUAGAAAUGUUAGUGCUAAGACAAGCAUACUGCCUGCUUUCGGUUUUGCAUGACUGCAAAACAAUACAGCUCACGCGUUUUCAUUUCCGAUCUGAUUUAACGCGUCGCCGCAUCGCGAACGCGCUCCGUUCUCCAUUGUUUGCCUGGACCUGUGCGGGAAAGCCCAGCGCUGUUCGAGGGGCACAACGUGACCUAACAAACAAGGAACCUCCGGGAACACCGUCAGUCCUGAACUAUGCGCACAAGGGGCCCAUCUGAGGGAUCCCGGGACCAGCGACACUUGGAAAUGACGCUUAAAACACGCAUUUGAAUCCGCCGCUCCGUGAAAUAUCAUUGAUUUCGUCUCAGUGUUGUGUUUAUGAUCAAUCCUAGACAUAUUAAUCUCCCAAAUGGUGUUUAAUGUAUUUGAUUGGACUGUUCAAUCGGCCGUCAGGACACUCCCUUAACGCGUUUGCUCGGCUUGGGAGGCGGAGACGGGACCCCCGUUGACGUCAGUGGGCCUGUCGGUUUCCUGCAAUAGAAAGUGAGAGAAGAUACAGCGAGAGAGAGGAAAAACAGACCUCUGACCGUUGAAACCCUUGACAACAGUUCAGACUGCACAUAUGUGCGGAGAUCAUCUUUUCUGUGUGGAAUAGGAGAUCGGCUUUCCUCGCAUUCCAGCCAGCAUCUUUCCUUAUGAUGUUUCACUGAGCCAGCGGAAAAAAAAAACACAAAA